rnacentral:rRNA from 1 species
GGCUCAGGAUGAACGCUAGCGGCAGGCUUAAUACAUGCAAGUCGAGGGGCAGCACGGCAGCAAUGCUGGUGGCGACCGGCGCACGGGUGCGUAACGCGUAUGCAACCUACCUUUGACAGUGGGAUAGCCCCGAGAAAUCGGGAUUAAUACCGCAUAACAAUGCGAUUUGGCAUCAGAUUGCAUUUAAAACUCCGGUGGUCAAAGAUGGGCAUGCGUGACAUUAGCUGGUUGGUAAGGUAACGGCUUACCAAGGCGACGAUCUGUAGCGGGUCUGAGAGGAUGAUCCGCCACACUGGAACUGAGACACGGUCCAGACUCCUACGGGAGGCAGCAGUGGGGAAUUUUGGACAAUGGGCGCAAGCCUGAUCCAGCCAUGCCGCGUGAGUGAAGAAGGCCUUCGGGUUGUAAAGCUCUUUCGGCCGGGAAGAAAUCGCAUGGGUUAAUACCCUGUGUGGAUGACGGUACCGGAAUAAGAAGCACCGGCUAACUACGUG